UUUUAAGGAAUAGCGCCUGGUCUGUAGUUACAGAUGACGAGGAAAGGGUUUAUCGAAAUAUUCGGCGGAUGACCCUAGGGACUGCACUCUAUAGGAUCGAUCAAAACCUAUCUGUGAAGAUAGAACAAAAAUCGAUUCCAGCAGCUG
rfam:Enterococcus hirae ATCC 9790, complete genome.